GGACUGACAAUGAGCACCUGUUUACAGGAAAGAGCUUCACAGCCAAGAAGGCCUGGGGAGAGGUUCUGCAGAAGAUGGAGUUGGAGGAGUUGCUCACUCCCACCCAACUGGCAAAAAAGUGGGACAACCUGAAAAGAAAAUAUAAGGAGCUGAAAACCCCCCUACAGGGACAGGGACAGAUGCGGUGGAGGCCACGGCAGCCACAUGGUCGUGGUUUUCCCUGAUGCAUGAAGCCAUUGGGAGUCGGCCAUCCAUGGAGCCUCCAGUCCUGAUGGACUCGGCUGACGUGGCCCCCAGUGGGAUUGGCUCUUCAUCCAGUGGAGCUGGGGCUGCUCCUUGUGGCCAGGCAAUGGAGGAAGAGGAGGAUCCUGGGCAGCCUGGCACAAGUAGCAGCACCACUACACUGGAUGAAGAGCCAUCCACCUCUCUCAGUCCCCCGCCUGCCAAGAAGAAGAGGGCAAGUAGGGGGGCCCUAUUAGAGUUUCUGAAAGAGGAGGCCCAACGAGAGCAGGAACGCUUUGAGGCCAAUCAGGCUAACACAAAAAGAUUUUUGGAUUUAUUUGAGAAAUUGGUAAAUAAAGGAUUUUGUUUCUAA